AGAAAGAGGGGGAUCUUCGGACCUCUUGCUAAGUAGAUGAGCCUAGGUCGGAUUAGCUAGUUGUGGGGUAAAGGCUACGACCAAGGCGACGAUCUGUAGCUGGUCUGAGAGGAUGGCCAGCCACACUGGAACUGAGACACGGUCCAGACUCCUACGGGAGGCAGCAGUGGGGAAUAUUGGACAAUGGGCGCAAGCCUGAUCCAGCCAUGCCGCGUGUGUGAAGAAGGCCCCUCGGGGUUGUAAAGCACUUUAAGCGAGGAGGAAGGUCAUCAUGCUAAUAUUAUGAUGAAUUGACGUUACUCGCAGAAUAAGCACCGGCUAACUCUGUGCCAGCAGCCGCGGUAAUACAGAGGGUGCAAGCGUUAAUCGGAAUUACUGGGCGUAAAGCGCGCGUAGGCGGUUUGUUAAGUCGGA
rnacentral:rRNA from 1 species